UUGAAUAUUUAUCAAACUUCAACUUCAUUGAUCUAGCCACACUUUGCAAAAUAAGAUUAUUAGAGUCAUGAUUUUUUUUUUCAAUCACAAUUUGAAGCCGUACUAUUUCAGUGAAAACCAAAUACGAUGUACGCCUUUUUGUUGCACUAAGAUUCAAUGUUGUCCCAUAAACUUUUAAGAACUGUAUUUUUAACUUUUUUAAGUUUUGACCUAUUUAUUUUAUGUAGUAAUUUUAA
rnacentral:lncRNA from 1 species